rnacentral:rRNA from 1 species
CCCUUAGAUGUUCUGGGCCGCACGCGUGCUACACUGAGUGGAUCAGCGGGUCAGGUUGCGCGAAAGCGUUUCCUAAUCUUUAAAUCCGCUCGUGAUGGGGAUUGACGGUUGCAAUUUUCUGUCAUGAACGAGGAAUACCUUGUAAGCGCGGGUCAUCAUCCCGCGCUGAAUACGUCCCUGCCCUUUGUACACACCGCCCGUCGCUCCUACCGAUUGAGUGGUCCGGUGAAUAAUUCGGACUGCAGCAGUGUUCAGUUCCUGAACGUUGCAGCGGAAAGUUUAGUGAACCUUAUCACUUAGAGGAGGAGAAGUCGUAACA